CACCUCCCACCGCUUUGCCCAAAUUAUUUUCGAUCCCGGGAGACUCCGGAUGCCAGACGCGCUCGGCGGCGGCGGCGGCGGCGGCCGUGCCUGAUUCAUUGCGCCAAAGCUGCAGAUGCGACCUCCCGCCUGCGCCCCGUGCCCCGGCCCGCACUGGGCUGAGCGCGCACCGUAGAGAGCUGGAAGGGGGGGGGCAAUUUGUAGGCGCUUUCCCCUCCCCACAAAAGGCGGGCCCUGCCCCCCCCCCACGGGGGCCAGGUCCCCUGUCUCCAGCUCCCCGGGCUGCGCUAAUUAGCUUCCUCCGGGGGCGCCACGCGGCGUGAGGGGCGGCAAUUUCCCGGCUGGGCUGCGGGGGAAGCGCUCCUGCCGCCUGGGAAGUGCACGGUCACCAUGGCAACCGCGGAGGAGGUCACGGUAGCUGGGCCCCCGCGCGUCACCCCGCGCCUCGCCGGCUGCAGGCGCCCGGAUUGCGGCCUCCCAGGCGCCGUGGCCCUCGUGGACUCUGCUCCGAGCUCUCCGCCCCCGCUCCGCCCUGCCCGCAGCUCAGGCCCCUCCACAGGACUCUGCCGAGUCCCAACCGGGAAUAUAGCACCUGGGCGCCAGUGCGCUCAGCUAUGCUGUACCCCCCCCACCCCCCGGCACGCGGGACUGCGCCAUGAAACACGUGCCCAACACCCAGCUAGGAACAUGUGCGGCUCUUGCCGAGGGGCUCACCGCACUUACGGAUGCCCUGGGGAAUCGACCUAUAUUUGGUGCACAACUCGGCAGCCCUUGCCAAAAGAGACCUCCGGUAGCUAAAAGGGCCAGAUCUGGCGUCAGAGCCUCCUAGCUCUGCCUAGCUAAUUUAGGAGGAGCUGUGUGACUUUGGUCAAGUCCCGGCUUUUCUGUGCCUCGGCUUGCUCAUCAGCAAAAUGGACCUGUGCGGUUUAAAUGCUUUUCGAAGUCCGUUUAAGUGCUUAACGCGGUGGUUCGAAAAUCUGUCUUUGGGGUCGUUGUUCUACAGGCUGGAAACGCAAAGGCAAAGGUUCUGGUUAAAGGGGGCGCGCUCAGGUUGGAGGCUGCGAGGGGAUCCCCAGGUCUCCAACACCCCUGCCUAGGUGCACAGGCGGCAGGUGAGGGCACCCGAGCGGGCAGCCCAGGGCCCGGGCCUGCUUGAGGCGUGGCGGGCCAGGCUGAGCUGUGGACGUUCGCUACAUCCGCACCCGGAACCCUGGAAACGCGCCCCCCGUGGAGUCUUUCCCCGCCCACUCGCUCCAGCACCAUUAGCAACAGGCCGGCCUGCCCUCCGUCGCGGGCCCGAGGCCGCACCUGCCCCACCGGAUGACUGCCCGGAGCCGGGCGGUGCCCCCCCACCGCGCACACUUCCUCCCGGACCCCUGCGCCCCGUCGAGCGCGCAGGGGGAGGGGACCGGGUCACCCCGGCCCCACCAGCUUCCCACAGUUUAAGCUGCCCGCAGCCGGGGAGGCAGGAAGUCUCAGAGCCGGGGCGUGGAGGCGGGGUGGGGGCAGGAAGUUGGGGGUGACUCUCCCAGAGACCCCAGACGGUCCCCGGCGUGGGAGCAGGGUGGGCGGGCGCGCAGGGAUUAAGGGCACCCCCUCCUCUGUAGCCCUAGGCCAUGUGACUCUGGCUGGAGCGCCCCGCAGGGUGAGGGCGAAGGCCGCUACCUCUGGCGACCCCCAGCAGCGCGCACGAGGAGGGAGGGGCCGCCUUUGUCUACUUUGCCGCAGAGGCAGCCCCCCCCACCCCACCCCCCCCGCACCCGUCGGCCCUGCACAGCCCGGGUUUUCCAUCCGGCCUGGCUCGGCUCGGCAGCUGUCAGGGGACCGAGCUGACCUUCGCGAGCAGGGAGUUUCAAUUAGCUGCAGAUCAGAUAAGCGGGCGGGCCCGUCUCUCUGGGCACCGCGGGGGCGCAGCCCCGCCCCCGCCACGCCGCGCCAAACGCGCUCCAGAUGGGAACAAAGAUGAGGACGCAGCUCCACCUGCCUCCCCAGGGAGGGGAGGGGAGAGGAGGCCCCGCCGGGAGAAGCUUCCCACCCGAGGCCCGGUUGCACGCCCUCCCCAGCGGAUCUGGGAUCCUGGGUCGGGCCAGGUCAGGGCUCCGGCCAAGAUGAUCUUUGCGGCUCCUCUUGCCUCCUGCACUGACCUCAUCUCCACUUGGGCAUCGUGCCCUCUCUCCCCCGGAAGGAACAUUGUGCCAUCUCUGAUCUCAUGCAGACUCUUCUCUGUGUGGCCGGAGGAAUGAGACGAAGGCCAACAACGAAAGGAAACUGAGGCACUCUGUGCCUCCUUGGUCCACGGCACACACCAGGCCCACAUCAUCGCGAGUUUAUUGAGUGCCUACUAAAUGCCAGACAGUGUUUAAACUCUGUGGGCACCAAGAGAACAAACAGUCUCGUCCCAGCUUCACAGAACUUACAUUCUUGUUCAAGGAGACGCCAUAAUCAAAUAAAUCGUUGGACGCAAUCGCUGAAGAGCCAAGAAGACAUUAAAACAGGUCGUGUGAGACUGACUUCAGGGAGGGUGCAUACUGCUGUUGUAGUCAGGGAAGGCCUCUCGGAGGAGGUGGCAUCUGACCUGGGACCUAAAAGACCAGGAAAAGCCUGUUAGCAAAAGAGAGGGUAGAGUAUUCUGGUUGGAGGCUCGAAAAGAACUGGCCUUGUGGACGGUAGGAGAAGGCCUUUAUGGGCAUGGCCAUAGGUCCUAAUAGGUCUUAAACUCACAGAGAUCCUCCUGCUUCUGCCUCUGGAAUCCUGGGAUGUGUGCCACCACACCUGGCGCUGACUUUAAAAAAAAAUUUAAGAUUAUUUAUUUUUAUUUUA